UGGCUCACGCCUGUAAUCCCAGCACUUUGGAAGGCCGAGGUGGGUGGAUUGUUUGAGCUCAGGAGUUCAGGACCAGCCUGGGCAACACAGCGAGCAAGACCCUGUCUCUACAAAAGAUACAAAAAUUAGGCUGGGUGCGGUGGCUCAUGCCUGUAAUCCCAGCACUUUGGGAGGCCGAGGCAGGUGGAUCACUUGAGGUCAAGAGUUCGAGACCAGCCUGGCCAACAUGGUGCAAUACUGUCUCUACUAAAAAUACAAAAAUUAGCCAGGGGUGGCGGCAGGAGCCUGUAAUCCCAGCUACUUGGGAUGCUGAGGCAGGAGAAUCGCUUGAGCCCGGGAGGUGGAGGUUGCAGUGAGCCAAGAUUGCACCACUGCACUCCAGUCUGGGCAACAGAGCGAGACUUGGUCUCAAAAAAAAAAAAAAAAAAAAGAUACAAAAAUCAACUGGGUGGCACAUGCCUGUGGUCCCAGCUACUCUAGAGGCUGAGGUGGGAGGACUGCUUGAGAAAGGGACUUCGAGGCUGCAGUGAGCUUUGAUCACACCACUGCACUCCAGCCUGGGUGACACAGUGAGACCCUGUCUCAAAAAAAAAAAAAAAAAAAAAAGGAAAAAAAAACUGAAACUGAAAAUAGCAGUAUAUGAAUUAUUAAAAAUAUAGAGCUAAAGACUAGAGGAAACGUUUAAGGAGUUGGAAAUGGAUGCCCAAGGGGAGCAGGAAGUGGUUAGAGGAGUGUGGCUGGGCUGCUUUUUGUAGGAGUAUUUGAUUUUCUUUGGAACUAUGUUUUUAUGUUUUUUAAAAAUCCAUCCAUCUGCACACUGAUAUAUGUUUCUUUUUGGAACUGUUUUCAUUUUACCAUGA
rnacentral:lncRNA from 1 species